GGUAAGUGGGAGCGUAGAGGUGGGGGAAUACGUAGGGGGCAAGCGUGAGUCGGAAGGACUGGGCGGAGAGGUGACGGUGGGGAGUGUGUAAGUCAUGGGGGAAAGCCCUGGGCUCAACCGGGGAACUGCGAUGGAAACUGGGCGACUAGAGUGGGGUAGAGGGUAGCGGAAUUCCUGGUGUAGCAGUGAAAUGCGUAGAUAUCAGGAGGAACAUCCAUGGCGAAGGCAGCUACCUGGGCCAACACUGACACUGAGGCACGAAAGCGUGGGGAGCAAACAGGAUUAGAUACCCCAGUAGUC
rnacentral:rRNA from 1 species